rnacentral:rRNA from 1 species
AAUGAACGCUGGCGGCAUGCCUAACACAUGCAAGUCGAACGAGAUCUUCGGGUCUAGUGGCGCACGGGUGCGUAACGCGUGGGAACCUGCCCUUAGGUUCGGAAUAACUCCCCGAAAGGGGUGCUAAUACCGGAUAAUGUCUUCGGACCAAAGAUUUAUCGACUUUGGAUGGGCCCGCGUUGAAUUAGCUAGUUGGUAGGGUAAAAGCCUGCCAAGGCGACGGUCCAUAGCUGGUCUGAGAGGAUGGUCAGCCACACUGGGACUGAGACACGGCCCAGACUCCUACGGGAGGCAGCAGUGGGGAAUAUUGGACAGUGGGCGAAAGCCUGAGCCAGCAAUGCCGCGUGAGUGAUGAAGGCCUUAGGAGUGUAAAGCUCUUUUACCCGGGAUGAUAAUGACAGUACCGAGAGAAUAAGCUCCGGCUAACUCCGUG